CGCCGGUAAGGUGAUAUGAACCGUUAUAACCGGCGAUACCCGAAUGGGGAAACCCAGUGUGACUCGUCACACUAUCAUUAACUGAAUCCAUAGGUUAAUGAGGCGAACCGGGGGAACUGAAACAUCUAAGUACCCCGAGGAAAAGAAAUCAACCGAGAUUCCCCCAGUAGCGGCGAGCGAACGGGGAGGAGCCCAGAGCCUGAAUCAGCAUGUGUGUUAGUGGAAGCGUCUGGAAAGGCGCGCGAUACAGGGUGACAGCCCCGUACACAAAAGCGCAUGUGCUGUGAGCUCGAUGAGUAGGGCGGGACACGUGGUAUCCUGUCUGAAUAUGGGGGGACCAUCCUCCAAGGCUAAAUACUCCUGACUGACCGAUAGUGAACCAGUACCGUGAGGGAAAGGCGAAAAGAACCCCGGCGAGGGGAGUGAAAAAGAACCUGAAACCGUGUACGUACAAGCAGUGGGAGCACCCUUUGGGUGUGACUGCGUACCUUUUGUAUAAUGGGUCAGCGACUUAUAUUCUGUAGCAAGGUUAACCGAAUAGGGGAGCCGGAGGGAAACC
rnacentral:rRNA from 1 species